rnacentral:rRNA from 1 species
GACGAACGCUGGCGGCGUGGAUAAGACAUGCAAGUCGAACGCUUGUCGCUUGAGUAGCAAUAUUCGAGCGGCAGGAGUGGCGCAAGGGUGCGUAACACGUGGAUCAUCUGCCUGGAAGUCUGGAAUAAUUCGGCGAAAGCCGGACUAAUGCCGGAUGUGGUUGGAAGACUAAAGCUGGGGACCGCAAGGCCUGGCGCUUCCAGAUGAGUCCGCGGCCUAUCAGCUAGUUGGCGGGUAACGGCCGACCAAGGCUAAGACGGGUAGGCUGGUCUGAGAGGACGACCAGCCUCACUGGAACUGAGACACGGUCCAGACACCUACGGGUGGCAGCAGUCGAGAAUUUUUCUUCAAUGGGGAAACCCGUGAAGGAGCGACGCCGCGUGAGGGAUGAA